ACAGUUCCAGGCCUCCCUGUGGAGGGGACCAGCUCCGCUGUUUGCACAGUUCUCUCCGCUGUGGUACAUUGCCUCCCGUGACCACAAAUGAGACAAGUGGAACCCUUCCUAGGUGGGAUGUCCUGGAAAGGAGUGUCCUGCCCAGAGAGGAGCUCUGGGGAGGACUGGGACCCAACAGGCCUGCUCCCAUGGACCUCUCCCUGCAGAAGUCCACCCUCCACUGCUGAUCACGUCUUGUCACAGAGUCAGACAGAGGGCAGAAGCCACUGCCAUGGCCACACUGAGCACCAGCAGUGCCUCCAAACCACUCGGCACUGUCUUAUUUAAGACUUACAACAGGCCUAUGCUGUAGAUGUUAUUCCCGUUUUACAGAUGAGAACACUGAGGCCUAGAGAAGUUAGUCUACAGUUAGCAAAUGCUCAAAUCGUCUGGAGUUCAAGUUAGUCUACGUGACACACGCACACGCACACCUGCCAGUCUGGGCUCCUGGCCAUUCACGGAGCUGUGCUGACCCACAAACACCCCCACACCAAAAGCAGAACAUAAAAGUGUCAAAGGGAAAAGCCCUCAGGAAUGCCUUCCCUCCUGACCACUGGGGCUCAGCGUGAGAGGGUACAAGAUUUGCUUGGCUGAUAAAAUGCAUUUUAAAUGGGCUUUGGAUGUGAGGAAACCACCCUUGAUAGGAAAAUGCCUGUGUUGGAGGCUGUGCUGUGGGUGUGUGCGUUUAUAGGAAUUUGUGUGCAUUAUUUGCUGAUGGUCAUCAGAGAAGAUGGAGCCAUUUAUGCCAGGAUGGGAGCAGAAUCCCUACCUGGAGCGAACUGCACGCGUGUCCAGCCUCCCCUCCCAGCAAGCGUGCUUGUGAAUGCAGGCGACCCCCAGUUGCCUGCCUAAGGUGAAAGCAGACCCAGUGGGGACCACCUGGGGUCCCCAGAGGGAAUUCAGGACCAGUCCAUCAGUGGGAGCGGAGCUGCCUUCCCUACCUCGCUGUGAUUUCCUUCCAAAGUCUUCAGUGUUGGAACAAAGAGCAGGUUCCUCUAGGUGAGGGGAGCAGCCGCUGGACAGGAGCCCCAGUAUCUCACCGUCAGGCCCCGAUGCGGCUGUACACACUGUCCGGAAGGAAAGGGCAUCACACUCUGCUCAUCAUGGUGUCCAGGACGGGAGCUGCUCUGCCCCCCAGCAUGGCCCUGCCUGGUCCCUGAGACCUACCAAGAUUGACACGUGCAGAGCAGCAUACAAAAGGAGGCGGGAGACUGCCUGCGAUCCAUUUCAAUUCUGAGUCUUGGACCAACUGGAAAAGUUACUGUCCUUGAACGUCCAACAUCACGUCAUAG